GAGAGAGAGAGAGAGAGAGAGAGAGGAGAGGGGGAGGGGGAGAGAGAGAAAGGGAGAGAGAGAAGGUGUGGACACGAACUAAAGCUGGAAAGGUAAGGUUUGGAGUUGAUGCUCAGUUGUUCAUUUGUUUUGUUUGUUUUCAAUCUGGCCGCGGUCUCUCAGGGGGAACACGUGGCGCCAGUCAGUCCCGCGCGUGUUUGCUGGUCUGAACCGGAUUAGGCCGGUUUACAUUUCAGAAACCAGUGAGAAGAUUCCAUUGGGAGCCUGUGUUAAAACCCGGACUGGAGUCUCACCACAAGAGUGGAUCGGGAUUGUAAGCAAACGUUUUAUUCAGAAGAGGAGCAGACAGUCCGAGAGCUGAUUCACCAGAGACCACAGCUUUGCCUGGUUACCAUGUCUCUAUAAACCACUGGACUGCAAGUGAACCUGCAAGGCAGCCAUUUUCUCUUGCCCAGCCUCUAGGAGUCUCUGCAUCUCUCUCUCUCUCUCUCUCUCUCUCUCUCUCUCUCUCUCUCUCUCUCUCUCUCGCUGUGGUUCUUGUCUUUGCUGGGGUCAAACAAAAUGGCUGCCAGAAGCUGAACCCAGAACCCCAGUCCCACACCUUCAAAAAAAAAAAAAAAAAAAACAACCCACACAGGCCCUCGUGUUUAACCCCUCGCGCGCCGGCCCUCAGGAAAUUAAGGUAAGGUGUUAAGACAAAUGCAAUGUGUGUGUGUGCCUUAGCGGGGCGGGCCUGUGGUGUGUGUGCGU